rnacentral:piRNA from 1 species
UCGCUUUCUGAAUUUUAAGGUCUAUGAGC